CCUACGGGUGGCAGCAGUGGGGGAUAUUGCACAAUGGGGGAAACCCUGAUGCAGCGACGCCGCGUGUGGGAAGACGGUCCUCUGGAUUGUAAACCACUGUCCCCAGGGAGGAAAUUGACGGUACCUGGGGAGGAAGCUCCGGCAAACUACGGGCCAGCAGCCGCGGUAAUACGUAGGGAGGAAGCGUUGUCCGGAAUUACUGGGUGUAAAGUUGGCGUAGGCGGGGUGUAAAGUUGGGUGUUAAAUCUACGGGCUCAACUGGUGGUCGCACUCGAAACUGCUAUUCUAGAGUGAAGUAGAGGCAAGCGGAAUUCCUGGUGUAGCAGUGAAAUGCGUAGAUAUUGGGAGGAACACCAGUGGCGAAGGCGGCCUGCUGGACUGCAACUGACGCUGAGGCACGAAAGUGUGGGGAGCAAACAGGAUUAGAUACCCGAGUAGUC
rnacentral:rRNA from 1 species